rnacentral:rRNA from 1 species
AACGAACGCUGGCGGCAGGCCUAACACAUGCAAGUCGAACGGGAUCUUCGGAUCUAGUGGCGGACGGGUGAGUAACGCGUGGGAACGUGCCCUUUGCUUCGGAAUAGCCCCGGGAAACUGGGAGUAAUACCGGAUACGCCCUUGGGGGGAAAGAUUUAUCGGCAAAGGAUCGGCCCGCGUUGGAUUAGGUAGUUGGUGGGGUAAUGGCCUACCAAGCCGACGAUCAAUAGCUGGUUUGUGAGGAUGAUCAGCCACACUGGGACUGAGACACGGCCCCGACUCCAACGGUGGGCAGCAGUGGGGAAUUUUCCGCAAUGGGCGAAAGCCUGACGGGGCGACGCCGGGUGAAGGAUGAAGCUUUUCGGAGCGUAAACUUCUUUUAUGUGGGAAGAUUAUGACUGUACCACAUGAAUAAGGACCGGCUAACUACGUGCCAGCAGCCGCCGUAAAAC